GGCUUGGUAGCGUAUGGUCCGCAUCUGCUCUCCAUUAUUGGUGCUUCCCCAGAUGUAAUGCAGACAAAGCCUGUUCGACUCAGGCCCGAGCCA